GAUGAACGCUAGCGGCAGGCUUAAUACAUGCAAGUCGUGGGGCAGCAUGAGUAGCAAUACUUGAUGGCGACCGGCAAACGGGUGAGGAACACGUACACAACCUUCCUUCAAGCGGGGAAUAGCCCAGAGAAAUUUGGAUUAAUACCCCAUAAUAUAUUUGAUAAGGCAUCUUAUUAAUAUUAAAGCUUCGGCACUUGAUGAUGGGUGUGCGGCUGAUUAGAUAGUUGGCGGGUAACGGCCCACCAAGUCUACGAUCAGUAGCUGAUGUGAGAGCAUGAUCAGCCACACGGGCACUGAGACACGGGCCCGACUCCUACGGGAGGCAGCAGUAAGGAAUAUUGGACAAUGGACGAAAGUCUGAUCCAGCCAUGCCGCGUGAAGGAUUAAAGGUCCUCUGGAUUGUAAACUUCUUUAUAUGGGACGAAAAAAGGGCAUUCUUGUUCACUUGACGGUACCAUAUGAAUAAGCACCGGCUAACUCCGUGCCAGCA
rnacentral:rRNA from 1 species